rnacentral:rRNA from 1 species
UACGUAGGGUGCGAGCGUUAAUCGGAAUUCCUGGGCGUAAAGCGUGCGCAGGCGGCUUCGCAAGUCAGGCGUGAAAUCCCCGGGCUUAACCUGGGAAUGGCGUCUGAAACUACGGAGCUGGAGUGUGGCAGAGGGAGGUAGAAUUCCACGUGUAGCGGUGAAAUGCGUAGAUAUGUGGAGGAAUACCGAUGGCGAAGGCAGCCUCCUGGGCCAACACUGACGCUCAUGCACGAAAGCGUGGGGAGCAAACAGG